rnacentral:miRNA from 1 species
UGCUUCCUGUUGGGCUUCCUGC